GUGUUUGCUGCGCAGUGCAGCGCUGUAAGCGACAGUGACGCUGCGCCUGGGUAUGGGCAGUUGAAGGAGGCUUAAAGAGACAACAGCAAAAUCAUAGCAACUUGGGGGCAAAGGAAACGAAAUGAGAGAGAUACCGACGCACGAAGAAACAUGACUUCGGCUCCGUUUCGAUAACUAACAUUUAGAGGUAACAUGCUUGCCGUUUGUGGUAUCGGUGUUUUCCUACGUGUUGUGUUUUUUUGAAGACAGCGUCUCGCCGGACGUUGACGUUGUUGCUAAUGUUUCGUAGAUGCUAACUGGCUAAACGGUUAGCCUUCGAGCUAAGCGGCGAGAGAUCCCGGACAGGCAAGGCAGGCAGCCGCUGGUGUGCACUCGGUUGUUUAGGAUUAAGGAGUUGCCCAGCAGUGGUCAGGAUAACGGCUUUAACUGGGAUCUGACCUCGAAAACGAUCCCAUCAGGUGAAACGCUGGUCACUUUUAUCAGAACGUUUCUUCAGUCGAUGAGAUUAACUAAAUCUAACGUCGCCUCGGACAUUAUUAACAAACCGACCAGGUUAAUUUAGGAUAGGGAAUACCAGGCAAUCAAUAUUUUAUGCUGUUUCUUGUUACCACUUCUUCCAAAUGCAGUGGUUUGCUGAGGGUUGUUCCGCUUGUGAUCGUAUGUUGUUAACAUUUGAGCUAACGUUAUAUCCUGAGCUGGUUUUUAACAGGCGUAGGGCCAAAGUGGACGGUGUUUUUGGUUGGUGCUAGCUUGGUUAGCUUUGAGCUGCUGUGUGACGUUCCAGUAUCCGCUGUAAUGUGGAUUUAAAGCUUCACGCUCGAUGAAUAUGCCAAACGUGCUGCAUUUAUAUUAUAAAUGAACGCGUUCAAAGUUAAACAAACUAACCGCGAUUGGACAAUCAAGCUAACUACCGUCUUGGUGACCGGUGUUCUGUCGAAGAGAGCUGCCUAUGGAGAAAUGCUACUCAGUGGCUGUGCGCAUGCGAAGAGCUACAAUCCUGGGCGCUUGACGCCACUGGGAGCAUUAUUUAGAAGAGGAUAUCAUGCCAUCGAGACACAAAAAUCCCGAAAUAUUGAAUAAUACUUACCAAUAGAGUAUCCGAGGAUGAAUUCAAUUCUGUCACAGUGCAGAUGAGUUUGCAAGUUAAGCAAGUUAAAGUGAUUCUGUCCCCGAAGCAUGGUUUGAAGGGCUCAUUAUUGAAAAUUCUUAUCAUAAGUUUUAUAUUAUUGUGUCAAAGUAUGCGACCCAGAGUUAUACAGUCAAUUUGCCCUGUUCUAAAGCGAAAACACGAAUUAAUGGCGCGAACUUACAGCUGCUGCUAUCGAUUCGCGCUACGGCAGCACUUUUCAACAAAGCAGCAAAUGUCGACAGAACACCAUGGAGUAUCUGGCCUUGUCCGCCUUACCAACCAGUCUUGUUUUAACCUUAGGUCUACCGAUGGCUCAUUCGACGGGAUUUGUCUUCUAGCGUUUGUUUUCUUUUUUCCCCUCGCUGCGGAAACAUUCGUGUUGAUAUGUAAGAAAGAAACGAGGUGCUGUGAAUCAUUUGAAACUAACGCUCACUGACAGCUGGUAGGCACAGUUAGCUAGCAAUUAGCAAGCUGUAACAAGCUUAAAAUUAAGAUAUGUAUUCACCGUGGAAAAGUUAACUGAGCCAUCUCGACAAUAUACUUACAUUUAUAGUCUCUCUUUUGCACUCCGUCUGUUAUUUUACUGAUGUUUGACGUUUAGAUUUAUGUUGUGUCGUGUUAUUACAAGCUAGGUCAACCGUAUUGACUAAAACGUAAUGAUAGCGAUUUUAUCCCACAGCUACAGGCAGUUAAAAUAUAUUUGUGAGAGAUUUUAUUUGAAGUUUUUCUAUCCUAUGUGACUUCUCAAAUCAGGAGUUGAUGUAUACUUCAUCUCUGUGUUUUCAUUGUGAGUUCAGUGCAUUUGUUGCUUUUUUUAAAUAGUGAACCGUGAAAAACAACACACAACUUCCUGAAUUGAGACAGUCUAGACAUACAGGCCCAGAUUUACCAAGAAUUAUAUGUGUCAGUGUAUUACUUCCAUCUUAUUCUUACCUUUUAACCCUAACUGGAAUC